GACGUAGGGCGCGAGCGUUGUCCGGAUUUACUGGGCGUAAAGAGCGCGCAGGCGGUCGUUCAAGUCGAGUGUGAAAGCCCCCGGCUCAACUGGGGAGGGUCACUCGAUACUGAUCGACUUGAAGGCAGGAGAGGGAAGCGGAAUUCCCGGUGUAGUGGUGAAAUGCGUAGAUAUCGGGAGGAACACCAGUGGCGAAGGCGACUACCUGGCCUGUUCUUGACGCUGAGGCGCGAAAGCUAGGGGAGCAAACGGG
rnacentral:rRNA from 1 species